GACAGAGGGUGCAAACGUUGUUCGGAAUUACUGGGCGUAAAGCGCGUGUAGGUGGCGAGGCAAGUCGGGUGUGAAAGCCCUGGGCUCAACCCAGGAAGUGCACUCGAUACUGCCUAGCUAGAGUCCCGGAGAGGUUGGUGGAACUCUCGGUGUAGAGGUGAAAUUCGUAGAUAUCGAGAGGAACACCUGAGGUGAAGACGGGUUGCUGGGCUGACACUGACGCUGAGGCGCGAAAGCCAGGGGAGCAAACGGG
rnacentral:rRNA from 1 species